UUACCAUCUUCUCUCCCUUUCGUUUUAUCUCCCAUGCUUUGAAGCUAUUCUACACCAGGAUGAAAUCUUCUUGUUCUAGGGUUCGACACAGAACUUCGUGUGAAUAUGGGCGUCAGUGUUCUCACUGGUUCCGGUAUUGUUGCCUAGCGUCACGCUCCAUCAACCCUCCACUAUGCCCGACACCAACGUUACGGUCACCAACGAUUCUCAAUGGGUUCGUCAUCUCGCUCUCUGGACAACAAGGGCAGAUCGUCGGAGGAAUGGUAGCUAGCGGGUUGAUUGCUGCGAGAACGAUGUUCGUGAUCGUUGCAUCGUUCAACAACCCAAACCUCUGUGUGCGAGAACAAUUUAAGCAAUUUCUAGCUGCAUACGAGGUUUGUGGAGGCAAAUAAAUGAUUUGUAUGGGUGAUUUUAUUCCUGAUCCCAAUUUCAAUCUCCCACAUACAAUUAUUCCCUUCUCCAAUAUCAAUCUCGCACACACACAACCAUUGCGUCCUAGACAUUAGGCAAAGUCAUUUCUCCUAACUUGAAAUUUCAAUCUCACGCACAACCCUUCCAUCUGCUCUAUCUAGUGGAUUCACGUGUGUUGUAUGCAAGGAUAUAGUUGAGUUUAAUGAGAGUUGCUAUUGAUAGGGUGUUUAUUGGUAGGAAAACUUUUGGAUGUGAUUUGUAAGGAUCGUGAUCAAGGUAGCAUGUCCGGUACUUCCAUGUUGCGGUAUGUGCUACUAUUUUUUAUGUCUUGUUUGAGAGGUUUCAACAAAAACAAGGAAGCCAAAAUCUUAAGGGUGUGCUACAUUUGUUUACUUUUGUUUUGAUUUAGUAUAACUAUUUGAGGCUUACUAAUUCCUCUUUAUAAGUGUUAUAAUUUAUAUAAGCAAUUAUCAUUUGAUAUUUUCACAUUUUGUCAUGUGUUUCGGGCUGCAUCAUAGGUUGUUAAGAAAAAUGAAUUACCUUAAUACAACCAGAUCCUCUUUAAAUGAAAAACAGGUUAAGAGGGAGCUUGCUAUUGUGUUCUUGCGGGAGGCACUCAUGAAAGGCAAAUGGUUAUGGUCCUAGAUGUGUUCUUUCUUGUGCCAAAGGUGGAAGGCCUUUGCCUAAACAAGGCUUCACUUGUUGCGUUGCCAUAGGAGAUUAAGGACUUGUUUGUUCUUUCCAGGUUAUCCUCCCCUCUCUUUUAGAUAUGAUAGUCCUUCAGCAUAUUUUAAAAUUUUGGAUUUUUUCCUUGAAAUGCUAAUACUUCCAAGUGAUCAAUAUAUUUGUUUGUGUGAACGUGUAUCUAGCUUCAUGUGUGUAUAUAUUCAUUUAUCUUGUUAUCUGGUCCAGCAGGUAUUAUGGUGGAAUUUAACCCUUUUCUGCUAAA